GAAAAAGAAAACGAAAGAACGGCAGAUAUCGAAUUUGGUACCCUAACACGUAAUCACAAUUUCCCCCUUCUUCUUCCCGCCACACUGCGUCAGUUCAGAGAACGAGAUCCUACACCGUAGAAAUGGAGUUGACGUUGAGUGAUAACUCCCUCAAAACCUUUGCACGAUGCAUCACGUGCCUCGCACGCAUCGGAAACGAACUCUCAAUUCAAGCUUCUUCUUCACAGCUUCUUUUCCACACUAUCAAUUCAUCACGUUCUGCAUAUCAAUCCAUACAUUUCAAACCCAGCUUCUUUGACGUAUACACGGUUUCCAGUGUUCCCGUGCAAUGUAGCGUGCUUCUGAAGGCUGUUUGUGCUGUUCUUAGGACACCUAUAGCAAAUAUUGAUCAUUUGACAGUGAAAUUACUGGAGCCGGAUGCUCCGAAAGUUGAGUGGAUUCUAGAUUGCUACAGCGGUAUGAGAAAAACCUAUUGGAUUACUUGCAAUGUUGAACCUGACAUUCAGCACUUGUCCCUUGACAGGCAAAAAUUUCCAAGCAACUUUGUCGUGAGGCCUCGAGAUCUGAACAGGUUACUUGCUAAUUUUCAGUCAUCUCUUCAAGAAAUCACUAUCAUUGCAACCGAACCUGCUUCUGUACCUCCUGAUUCUGCUAAUGAAAUUGGUGGAAAGGCCGUUGAACUUCGAAGUUACAUUGACCCAACCAAAGACAAUGAUUCAUUGCUACACACCCAACUCUGGAUAGAUCCUAAGGAGGAGUUUUUGCAGUAUGUUCAUACUGGGGACCCUGUAGAUGUGACUUUCAGUGUAAAAGAACUGAAGGCAUUUCUUUCAUUUUGCGAGGGCUGUGAAAUUGAUAUCCAUUUACAUUUUGAGAAAACUGGCGAACCAAUUCUCAUGGCACCUAAAUUUGGUUUGGAAGAUGGGUCCCAUUCGAAUUUUGAUGCUACCCUUGUACUGGCAACCAUGUUAACAUCUCAGCUUCAUGAAGGCGCAGCAUCAGAACCUCCAGUGGUGCCUAACAAUACACAUGCUCGAACUGAAGAAAGAAAUGAAUCUCCAUUGCAGCAAGAGAACUGCAGAUUGAAUGCAUCAGAGCUUCCGUCUGACCACACCCGUAUUUGGUCAGACCUUUCAGCAACUGCAGUUAAGAAUACUAGUGCCAUGGAAGAAAGGCAGGCCCAAGAAAGAACAACUUUGAAUGAUAACGAACAAAGAGAAAUUCAAAAGAUUAGUACAGUGCAAAUUUCAAGAGGAAAAUUAGCCGCAGGAAAUAAUCCCAGGGAUUCCAAUUUCUGCCAACCAACUGAAAAUGAUCAUGUACAAGAGCCUCAAGAUAUGUUGCCAAACAAUGGUCAAGCGGUUUCACAGCAUCAUCCCAGUAAUUGGGUAGAUGCUGAAGAGGAUGACGAAGACGACGCCGAUGAGGAUGAGCAGUACAUUCAGGCAACACCACCAUACUAUGAUGAACAAUAAUUCAAAGAACUCUACUGUAAUGGCUCUUUAUCUUGGAAAAAAAUUGUCCUUGUUUUACCGUUGGGAGAAAUAUUCAAGGGUUUAAGAAAAAGCUAAUUUGGUUGACAAUGUGGAGGGCAGAGAACUUGUCUUGGACCACUAUACCCAUUCAGAAGGAUAAGGAGGUAGGUAGCUACUUGUAUAUUAUUUUACAUUUGAAUAUCAGGAUUUCCUGCAAGAUUAGUUAUGGGAGUUCGACUACAUGGGACUCGUUCAACUGUUUAUACCAAAUUCCAGAUAAUCCUAGAUUUGACAUUGGUUUCUUCUGGAUUCUAAUUUAAUAUUCCUGACAUGUGAAUAUAUGUUUUCUUCCAAAAGUCUUUCUUGAAUAUAUGAGAACCUUUCCUUA